rnacentral:ncRNA from 1 species
AAUUGUGUGAGGAGUGAGAAGAAAGCAAAGUCCUUGGGGUCGAAACACGGCAAGACUCCCGAGGGCUUUUCCAU